AUGCUUCCGCAGUACAUAUACUAAAAUUGGAAUGAUACAGAGAAGAUUAGCAUGGCCCCUGCAUAAGGAUGACAUGCAGAUUGGUGAAGUGCUGCAUAGAAAA
rnacentral:snRNA from 1 species